rnacentral:rRNA from 1 species
AUUGAACGCUGGCGGCAUGCUUUACACAUGCAAGUCGAACGGUAACAGGCCUUCGGGUGCUGACGAGUGGCGAACGGGUGAGUAAUGCAUCGGAACGUACCCAGAGGUGGGGGAUAACGCAGCGAAAGCUGUGCUAAUACCGCAUGUGAUCUGAGGAUGAAAGCGGGGGACCGAGCAGCAAUGUUUGGCCUCGCGCCUUUGGAGCGGCCGAUGUCGGAUUAGCUAGUUGGUGGGGUAAAGGCCUACCAAGGCGACGAUCCGUAGCUGGUCUGAGAGGACGACCAGCCACACUGGGACUGAGACACGGCUCAGACUCCUACGGGAGGCAGCAGUGGGGAAUUUUGGACAAUGGGCGCAAGCCUGAUCCAGCAAUACCGCGUGCGGGAAGAAGGCCUUCGGGUUGUAAACCGCUUUUGGCAGGAACGAAACGGUGUCCGCUAAUACCGGGCGCUAAUGACGGUACCUGCAGAAUAAGCACCGGCUAACUACGUG